CCUACGGGCGGCAGCAGUGGGGAAUAUUGGACAAUGGGGGGAACCCUGAUCCAGCCAUGCCGCGUGUGUGAAGAAGGCCCUCGGGUUGUAAAGCACUUUCAGUGAGGAAGAACGCCUGGUGGUUAAUACCCAUCAGGAAAGACAUCACUCACAGAAGAAGCACCGGCUAACUCCGUGCCAGCAGCCGCGGUAAUACGGAGGGUGCGAGCGUUAAUCGGAAUUACUGGGCGUAAAGCGCGCGUAGGUGGCUUGAUAAGCCGGUUGUGAAAGCCCCGGGCUCAACCUGGGAACGGCAUCCGGAACUGUCAAGCUAGAGUGCAGGAGAGGAAGGUAGAAUUCCCGGUGUAGCGGUGAAAUGCGUAGAGAUCGGGAGGAAUACCAGUGGCGAAGGCGGCCUUCUGGACUGACACUGACACUGAGGUGCGAAAGCGUGGGUAGCAAACAGGAUUAGAUACCCUUGUACUC
rnacentral:rRNA from 1 species